AUGCCGGAGAACCCUGUCUUCAAGGAUUCGUUUAAUGUGGUCCAUAUUGAUGAAAAGUGGUUUUAUCGUACAAGGAAAACCCAGGGGGUUUAUUUGGGCAUUAACGAGCCGAACCCCGUGAGGCACGCCAGAAACAAGGGACACAUUGAGAAGAUCAUGUUUCUUGCUGCUGUUGCUAGGCCAAGAUAUGAUAUGCAAGGCAAUUGUACUUUUGAUGGUAAAAUUGGAAUUUGGCCCUAUGUUGAGUGGAAACCGGCACAGAGGAGAAGCCCAAACAGGCCUAGAGGAACGUUGGAGCUCAAGCCAUGCGAUAAAGUCGGCAUGGAGAAGAGCCGGGAAUACUUGAUCACGAAGGUGUUGCCGGCAAUCAAGGAGAAGUGGCCGCAAGAGGAUCGGUACAAGCCUAUUUUCAUCCAACGGGACAAUGCCAAGACACAUGUUCGACCAGAUGAUCCGGCGGUGUGUGCGGCAGCUGCUCAAGGUGGUUGGGACAUUAGGGUUGUGAUGCAGCCACCUAAUUCUCCGGACACUAACGCCCUAGAUCUUGGCGUGUUCAACUCUCUUCAGUCCGCGUUUGAGAAGAAGAUGCCAAAGAAUCUUCAAGAUAUUCUUCAAAAAGUGGAUGAGACAUGGAAUGAGCAUGAUGCAGACAAGUCCAACCGUGUGUUCCUUAGCCACCAAGCCGUAAUGCGGGAAAUAAUAAAACACAAGGGUUCCAUAGACUAUGAUCUUCCUCACCUCAAGAAAAAGUCUUUUGGGAGGGGCAAACUACCACGUAGGCUACCUUGUGAUCCCGAAUUUGUAGCCGCGGCACUAGAAUAUGUCAAUUCAGGUUAG
rnacentral:rRNA from 1 species